rfam:Candidatus Midichloria mitochondrii IricVA, complete genome.
GUAUAAGUAUGAAAAGAGCAUUUGACGGAUGCCUUGGCGAUAGGAGGCGAUGAAGGACGUAAUAGGCUGCGAUAAGCUGCGGGGAGGUGCCAAUAACCUUUAAUCCGUGGAUGUCCGAAUGGGGAAACCCACUGAGCGCGACUCAGUAUCUUUAAGUGAAUACAUAGCUUAAAGAGGCGAACCCGGGGAACUGAAAUAUCUAAGUACCCGGAGGAAAGGAAAUCAACAGAGACUCUGCUAGUAGUGACGAGCGAACGCGGACUAGGCCAGUACUCAGUUUGUAAUAAUUAGAACGCCAUGGGAAGGGCGACCAGAGAAGGUGAUAGUCCUGUAUAAGUAAAAAGCGAACUGAGUCUUGAGUAAGGCGGGGCACGUGAAACCCUGUCUGAACAUGGGGAGACCACUCUCCAAGCCUAAGUACUACCUGUCGACCGAUAGUGAACAAGUACUGUGAAGGAAAGGAGAAAAGAACCCCGAUAAGGGGAGUGAAACAGAAUCUGAAAUCAAAUGCUUACAAGCAGUCGGAGCAAUCGGCUUCCUCGCGGAAGUUGUGUUGUGACGGCGUACCUUUUGCAUAAUGGGUCAGCGAGUUAGUGUAUCUAGCAAGAUUAAGCCGAUAGGUGUAGUCGUAGCGAAAGCGAGUCUUAAUAGGGCGCUUUAGUUAGGUGCAUUAGACCCGAAACCAAGUGAUCUAGCUAUGAACAGGUUGAAGUUGGAGUGAGAUCUAACGGAGGACCGAACUCGUCAAUGUUGCAAAAUUGUGAGAUGAUUUGUGGUUAGGGGUGAAAGGCCAAUCAAACUUGGAAAUAGCUGGUUCUCCGCGAAAUCUAUUUAGGUAGAGCGUCAUUUGUUUACCUUCGGGGGUAGAGCACUGGAUCGGCUAGGGGGGCCCAAAGCCCUACCAAACCUAACCAAACUCCGAAUACCGAAGAGUAUAGAGUGGCAGACAGGCUGUGGGUGCUAAGAUCCAUGGCCGAGAGGAAAAGAGUCCAGACCGCCAUCUAAGGUCCCUAAUCCAUGGUUAAGUGUGAAAGGAUGUGAGGGUGCCAAAACAACUAGGAGGUUGGCUUAGAGGCAGCCACCCUUUAAAGAAAGCGUAAUAGCUCACUAGUCUAUCAGCAGCCUUGCGCCGAAAAUGUAUCGGGGCUAAAACCAUGUACCGAAGAUGCGGGCUUAUGUGAUUAUAUAUGAGCGGUAGCGGAGCGUUGUGUACGUCUGUGAAGGUAUGUUGCGAAGCAUGCUGGAGGUAUCACAAGUGAGAAUGCUGACAUAAGUAGCGUAAAGAAGUGUGAGAAACACUUCCGCCGAAAGUCCAAGGGUUCCUGUGUAAAGUUAAUCUGCGCAGGGUUAGUCGACCCCUAAGGCGAGGCCGAGAGGCGUAGUCGAUGGGAAUUGCGUUAAUAUUCGUAAACCCGCUAGAAGUGACGAAGAUGAAGGAUUGUAUCUGAUUAUUGGAUUUUGGAUGCAGUUUGGGUCUUCCAGGAAAUAGCUCUAGCAUAUGGAUCGUACCCCAAACCGACACUGGUGGACUAGUAGAGUAUACUAAGGCGUAGAGUGAAUGAUGUUGAAGGAACUAGACAAAUUGCACCUGUAACUUCGGAAAAAGGGUGGCCCUACUCAGGUAACUGGGAAAGGGUGGCACAAGCCAGGGGGUGGCGACUGUUUAUCAAAAACACAGGGCUCUGCAAACUCCAAAGAGGAUGUAUAGGGUCUGACGCCUGCCCGGUGCUGGAAGGUUAAGGUGAGGUGUGUAUAAAAGCACUGAUCUGAAGCCCCAGUAAACGGCGGCCGUAACUAUGACGGUCCUAAGGUAGCGAAAUUCCUUGUCGGGUAAGUUCCGACCUGCAUGAAUGGCGUAACGACUUCCCCAUUGUCUCCAACAUCAGCUCAGCGAAAUUGAAUUCUCCGUGAAAAUGCGGAGUUACCGCGGUUAGACGGAAAGACCCCGUGAACCUUUACUACAGCUUUGCACUGGUAUUAGGAAUCAGAUGUGUAGGAUAGGUGGGAGGUGAUGAGGCAAGGGCGCCAGCUCUUGUGGAGCCAAGCUUGAAAUACCACCCUUCUGAUUCUUGAUAUCUAACCACAACCUGUGAAUCCAGGUUUGGGACCAUGCAUGGUGGGUAGUUUGACUGGGGCGGUCGCCUCCCAAAGAGUAACGGAGGCGUGCGAAGGUAGGCUCAAGCUGGUCGGAAAUCAGCUGUUAGAGUGCAAUGGCAUAAGCCUGCCUGACUGCGAGACUGACAAGUCGAGCAGAAACGAAAGUUGGUCAUAGUGAUCUGGUGGUUCUGCGUGGAAGGGCCAUCACUCAACGGAUAAAAGGUACUCCGGGGAUAACAGGCUGAUGAGCUCCAAGAGUCCAUAUCGACGAGCUCGUUUGGCACCUCGAUGUCGACUCAUCACAUCCUGGGGCUGGAGAAGGUCCCAAGGGCUCGGCUGUUCGCCGAUUAAAGUGGUACGUGAGUUGGGUUCAGAACGUCGUGAGACAGUUCGGUCCCUAUCUGCCGUGGUUGUAAGGAAAAUUGAGAGGAUCUGGCUCUAGUACGAGAGGACCGAGUUGGACGUACCACUGGUGUACCAGUUGUUCCGCCAGGGGCAGCGCUGGGUAGCUAUGUACUGACGGGGUAACCGCUGAAAGCAUCUAAGCGGGAAACCCACCUCAAAACUAGUUUUCCCUAUCAGUGCCGUGGAAGACCACCACGUUGAUAGGCCGGGUGUGUAAGUGGAGUGAUCCAUCUAGCUAACCGGUACUAAUAGCACGACUGACUUAAAUGG